UACAGAGGGGGCAAGCGUUAUUCGGAAUUAUUGGGCGUAAAGAGCGUGUAGGCGGCCAGGUAGGUCUGCUGUGAAAACUCGAGGCUUAACCUCGAGAUGUCGGCGGAAACCAUCUGGCUAGAGUCCGGAAGAGGAGAAUGGAAUUCCCGGUGUAGCGGUGAAAUGCGCAGAUAUCGGGAAGAACACCCGUGGCGAAGGCGGUUCUCUGGGACGGUACUGACGCUGAGACGCGAAAGCGUGGGGAGCGAACAGG
rnacentral:rRNA from 1 species